UGGACACCCACAUUCGCUUACACCCACGUUCGCUGCCCUCUCUCCCAAACCCACUUUCUCUCUCUAAAGUUGAAACUUCGCUACUGCAACAAAACACAAGCACUAAAAGUGCUUCCAAUUCGUCACUCAUCACGUUUCUGCGAUGCACCGCGUGGGUAGUGCGAGUAAUGGAAACAGUUCAACUCGCCCUCGUAAGGAGAAGAGAUUAACCUACGUCUUGAAUGAUUCUGAUGACACCAAGCAUUGUGCAGGCAUAAAUUGUCUGGCUCUACUUGCAUCUGCAGCAUCUGAUGGGUCUGAUUAUCUCUUCACUGGGAGCCGUGAUGGCAGGCUAAAACGAUGGCUAUUAGAUGUUGAUAGAGCAACAUGCUCCGCUACCUUUGAAUCUCAUGUCGAUUGGGUUAAUGAUGCUGUUCUUGUUGGGGAUAGUACACUUGUUUCGUGUUCUUCAGAUACAACUCUUAAGACAUGGAAUGCAUUGUCCAUUGGAACUUGUACUAGGACACUUCGACAACACACUGACUACGUUACUUGCCUCGCAGCAGCAGGAAAAAAUAGCAAUAUUGUUGCCUCUGGUGGCCUUGGCGGGGAGGUGUUUAUAUGGGAUGUUGAGGCUGCCCUUGCUCCAGUCUCUAAGUGCAAUGACCCUAUGGUUGAUGAAUCUUCAAAUGCUGUUAAUGGUUCUGGCAAUUUACUACCAUUAACAAGCUUGCGUACUAUUAACUCAAGCAACAAUAUGUCCAUGCACACUACUCAAACUCAGGGAUACACUCCAAUUGCUGCCAAAGGCCAUAAGGAUUCUGUUUAUGCAUUGGGUAUGAACGAAAGUGGAACAAUUCUUGUCUCUGGUGGAACAGAAAAGGUUGUGCGUGUCUGGGACACAAGAUCAGGAUCCAAGACUCUAAAGCUAAGAGGGCAUACAGAUAACAUCCGGGCUCUGCUUCUGGAUUCUAGUGGCAGAUAUUGUUUAUCAGGAUCUUCGGACUCUAUGAUAAGGCUUUGGGAUUUAGGUCAGCAGAGAUGUGUGCAUUCUUAUGCAGUUCAUACUGAUUCUGUUUGGGCACUUGCAAGCACCCCAACAUUUAGUCAUGUUUAUAGUGGAGGAAGAGACUUUUCAUUAUACUUGACAGAUUUGCAAACUAGAGAGAGUAGUUUGCUUUGCACAGGCGAGCACCCGAUUCUUCAAUUGGCUGUGCACGAUGAUAGCAUAUGGGUUGCUUCAACGGACUCUUCAGUUCAUAGAUGGCCUGCUGAAGCAUGCAACCCUCAAAAGAUUUUCCAGAGAGGCAAUUCUUUUUUAGCUGGAAACUUGUCCUUUUCAAGAGCAAGAGUGUCACUAGAAGGAUCUACCCCUGUUCCUGUAUAUAAAGAACCUAUCUUAACCAUCCUGGGUACACCUGCAAUAGUACAACAUGAAGUGUUGAAUAAUAAGAGGCAUGUACUGACAAAGGAUGCAUCUGGUUCAGUGAAGCUGUGGGAGAUUACCAAAGGUGUUGUGAUUGAAGAUUACGGAAAGGUUUCAUUUGACGAGAAAAAGGAAGAGCUCUUUGAGAUGGUUAGCAUUCCUGCAUGGUUCACAGUGGAUACGAGGCUCGGAAGCUUGUCAGUCCAUUUGGAGACCCCCCAAUGUUUUUCUGCCGAGAUGUAUUCAGUAGAUCUUAACAUUGUAGGCAAGCCUGAAGAUGACAAGGUUAAUUUGGCUCGAGAAACCCUUAAAGGGCUAUUGGCUCAUUGGUUGAGAAAACGAAAGCAAAAAACAGGAUCCCCAGCUCCGGCUAAUGGGGAGUUAUCAUCUGGAAAGGAUAUUGCUUCUCGAAGUCUUACCCAUUCAAGGAUCGAGGUUGAUGGUAGUUCUGAGAAUGAUGCUAUGGUUUAUCCUCCGUUUGAAUUCUCAGUUACUUCCCCUCCUUCCAUUAUUACCGAGGGCACACAUGGAGGUCCGUGGAGAAAAAAAAUUACUGAUUUAGAUGGAACCAAGGAUGAAAAAGACUUCCCCUGGUGGUGUCUGGACUGUGUUUUGAAUAAUCGCUUACCUCCCAGAGAAAAUACCAAAUGCAGUUUCUAUUUGCAACCAUGUGAAGGCUCUUCCGUCCAGAUCCUCACACAAGGGAAGCUAAGUGCCCCACGCAUAUUAAGAAUUCACAAAGUUAUUAAUUAUGUAAUAGAGAAGAUGGUGCUUGACAAACCUUUGGAUAGCUUGAGUGCUGAUGGCAGUUUUGCCCCUGGACUUUCUGGAUCACAAUCACAGCAUCAGGCUGUUGGGGAUGUAUCUUUUAGAUCUGGAUUUAAGCCUUGGCAAAAGCUUAGACCUUCUAUUGAAAUAUUGUGCAACAACCAGGUGCUGUCUCCUGAAAUGAGCUUAGCCACGGUGCGAACUUAUAUAUGGAAGAAACCAGAUGACUUGGUUCUAAAUUACAGACUAGUUCAAGGCAGGUGACUACAAAUUGCUCAAGCAUCAGAGCAUCACCUAGUGGGAUAAUUGUUGUUGAUUUCAUGCUGAAAUUACUCCCUUUUUAUCAUGCUCCAUUCUUAUCGAGCGUUUUCUUGUGAUUAUGUAAAAUACUUCUGAGCACCGAUUCAUCUUGGGUUGCCUGCAUUGAUCAGUGGUACUAUAGGAAUUUGUAAAUUCUGAGCCGUCAUUUAUCACCAAAUUUAGUGACUUUAUUCAAACCUAAACCUGGUUGGAUAGUUUUUUCUUUAGUGGAGAGCUGUUACUGUAAAUUUUGAACUAUAUCUAGCUGGCGUGCAUACUUCUGCUGGAAAUGGCGGAAUCAUCUGCAUUUGGCAUGAUGAAGGUUUUUUUUAUUAUCAACUUUCUUGAGAAUUAGUGGGAAUCAUACUGGCAUAGUGGGAUGGGUGAUUUUGAGGAAUCAGGUAGUUGAUUUAGAGAUGACAAAGAAAACAUUGUAAAUUUGAAUUGUGCUUUAAAUAUCUGGCCAUAGAAAUUAUGUUGUCCAGGUGCAUGUUUACAUCAUAAAAUUUUGUUAAUUGCUAAUAAUAUUAUUCUCAUUUGUUCAAAUUAUCCAGUGCCUCUUCUCGGCUAACACUGUAUUUGGAACCUGUAUUCUUACCUUGCCAGUGGGUGGGUAUUCAAUAUCCAAUUCUGAAAGUGCCAAAUGUUAAUUAGGCAUAUUGAACUUGUUGAAGUUGUGACGGUAUUUAUUGUAGCUAUAGCUUUAUUGGCUUUGUGAUUUGUAUUUAAUUAAUAGAAUGUUGUAACUGAUUAUCGUGCCGCUGUAUUUUAAUUUUUUUUUUAGUGUA